rnacentral:piRNA from 1 species
UCCCACUAGGAGGUUGUAAGAGC